UCUGGCUCAGGAUGAACGCUAGCUACAGGCUUAACACAUGCAAGUCGAGGGGCAGCAUUGGGAUAGCUUGCUAUUCCAGAUGGCGACCGGCGCACGGGUGAGUAACGCGUAUCCAACCUUCCCUAUAGUAGAGAAUAGCCCGGCGAAAGUCGGAUUAAUGCUCUAUGUUGUGUUUUGAGGACAUCUGACGAACACCAAAGGUUCACCGCUAUAGGAUGGGGAUGCGUCUGAUUAGCUUGUUGGCGGGGUAACGGCCCACCAAGGCGACGAUCAGUAGGGGUUCUGAGAGGAAGGUCCCCCACAUUGGUACUGAGACACGGACCAAACUCCUACGGGAGGCAGCAGUGAGGAAUAUUGGUCAAUGGGCGAGAGCCUGAACCAGCCAAGUAGCGUGCAAGGAUGACUGCCCUAUGGGUUGUAAACUGCUUUUAUCAGGGAAUAAAGUGCGGCACGUGUGCCGUUUUGUAUGUACCUGAUGAAUAAGGACCGGCUAAUUCCGUGCCAGCCGCGGC
rnacentral:rRNA from 1 species